AUUGAACGCUGGCGGCAUGCCUUACACAUGCAAGUCGAACGGCAGCGGGGGAGAAGCUUGCUUUUCCUGCCGGCGAGUGGCGAACGGGCGAGUAAUACAUCGGAACGUGCCCUGUAGUGGGGGAUAACUAGUCGAAAGAUAAGCUAAUACCGCAUACGACCUGAGGGUGAAAGUGGGGGACCGCAAGGCCUCAUGCUAUAGGAGCGGCCGAUGUCUGAUUAGCUAGUUGGUGGGGUAAAGGCCUACCAAGGCGACGAUCAGUAGCUGGUCUGGGAGGACGAUCAGCCACACUGGGACUGAGACACGGCCCAGACUCCUACGGGAGGCAGCAGUGGGGAAUUUUGGACAAUGGGCGAAAGCCUGAUCCAGCAAUGCCGCGUGUGUGAAGAAGGCCUUCGGGUUGUAAAGCACUUUUGUCCGGAAAGAAAUGGCUCUGGUUAAUACCUGGGGUCGAUGACGGUACCGGAAGAAUAAGGACCGGCUAACUACGUGCCAGCCGCCGCGGUAA
rnacentral:rRNA from 1 species